AACGAACGCUGGCGGCAGGCUUAACACAUGCAAGUCGAACGCCCCGCAAGGGGAGUGGCAGACGGGUGAGUAACGCGUGGGAAUCUACCCAUCUCUACGGAAUAACUCAGGGAAACUUGUGCUAAUACCGUAUACGCCCUACGGGGGAAAGAUUUAUCGGAGAUGGAUGAGCCCGCGUUGGAUUAGCUAGUUGGUGGGGUAAAGGCCUACCAAGGCGACGAUCCAUAGCUGGUCUGAGAGGAUGAUCAGCCACAUUGGGACUGAGACACGGCCCAAACUCCUACGGGAGGCAGCAGUGGGGAAUAUUGGACAAUGGGCGCAAGCCUGAUCCAGCCAUGCCGCGUGAGUGAUGAAGGUCUUAGGAUUGUAAAGCUCUUUCACCGGUGAAGAUAAUGACGGUAACCGGAGAAGAAGCCCCGGCUAACUUCGUGCCAGCCGCCGCCGUAA
rnacentral:rRNA from 1 species